rnacentral:tRNA from 1 species
GGCCCCGUGGUCAAGCGGUCAAGACACAGGCCUCUCACGCCUGUAACCGGGGUUCGAUUCCCCGCGGGGUCACCA